AUGACACCCAUCAACUCCAUAUAUAGACGAUUUUGCACUGCCAAAGAUAUAAGGUAUCGAAAAGUGGCACCACUACGGCCUCGUACAAUUAAAGAAUUAGUAUGCCUCAAUAAGUCUUACCGACCCAACAUUAUUUUUCUUUCUGAAACAAGGCAAAAUAAAGAUGAUGUUGAGAGUUUGCGGUAUCGUUUGGGUGUGAAAAAUGUUUUAUAGUUUGGUAAAGGCAAAGGCGGUGGUUUAGCGGUAUUCUGGGAUGAAUGCUUCUCUGUGGGGUUAAACAAAAUUGAUGAUUACUUUAUUGACUUGUAUAUUUGUAAGCAAGGUCGUUAG
rnacentral:rRNA from 1 species